CUGGUUUUCAUCCAGCUCUCUUUUAUUUGUCUCGGGCUGUUCACUUUUGUCUCCUCUCUUCCCUCUUUUUCUUUGAUCUUCCUCCCCUCCGUUUUGCCUGUCAAUCACAUGGAAACAUGGACUAGCUCUCAGACUUUUGACCUUAGCCAGUAUCUUGAUUUGCCUAAAGAUGAGACAUUCAAUCGUGAACAGUCAUAUGAGUUUUCUUCCCUCAAAUAUGCUGAAAAAAUUACUUAAUGGCCCGUUGCGCUCCAUCAAUGGUCAUUCAGUCCAGUAAUUGAGGGACGGUUCGUGUGGUGGGAUUCUAGCUGGAGUAAUCGUCAGCAUCUGCGUUCAGACAUGGAGGCGUUCUAUUCAGGUGGUGACUGAAGGCGAGCAGAGGAAAGACUGGACUGGCUGACGAUGGGGUGGACACCUUAACUUAUAUGGCCAGGCUUUGUGCUGGGGCCAGGGCAGAGAGAUGAAGCAGGCCCCACUCUGCCCCGAGCAAGCUCAUAGUCUGGAGGCAAGAGAAACAGCCAACAGACUUAAAAUCCAGUAGAGAGGCAGACAGGCAUGGCAUGAGGGGAAAAGGAGUAGCCAUCCUCUCAUCUACAUGGCAAACUAGGAUGGGCUCCCCCCUGAGAUAUCAACCCUGAAGAAAUACAAGUGAAAUGGGUUCUGGAGAUCUUGGACUUGUUGAAUGGCAACCCAGGGCUCCACGAGGGAGCAAGUGGAAGCUGCCAGGCCUUCUGAAGGAUGUCACUUCAGGAGUCUGUUAGUCAUAGCAUCAAAGCCCAGUCCAGAUUCAAGAGGAGAGGACAUAAGCAACACAGGAGCUGCAUGCGUGUCUGGAAUUCAAACUCAAGGUCGGUGUAGGAUGUGGACCAUAACUUUGUGGGUCCAGCAAUUGGACUUGCCAAGGUCCCCGGAGAUGGGGAGCAUUGCUCAGAGUGGCUGCAGUAACUAAAAUGCACAGGAGAUGGCGAACUGAUGCAGGCUCCAAGGUUUAUUUGCAAGAUAAACCCAACCACGGGGCAGUAUGGAAGCAGAAUGGAUGCCAGCUCCUACAAGAUUCAAGCCCAGAAGGAAAGAGAGAGCUUCCCUCAGCAGCUGAGCAAAUGUCCUGGGACUGACUCAUUUCCAUCCCUGAACCAAACACCACGUUUAGGGUGAUAUCCUACCCUGGCCAGGAGGAAAUCACGUGCCCUCUCCUGGAGCUGGAUCAUCUUUAACUUCACUCAAA